AUGCUUAAAUUCUCACUCUUACUCAUUGUAGAGUCUUCCCAGUUUACAGCUAUAGCCAGAAGUCUUGAAGUAAAUGGGAAGUACCUGAGAAAGCAUCUUCCUUUAUCUUCAGAGCCUGCAAAGUCAAGUCAGAUGCCAGCAAACCAUGGAGACAGAGGAUGGACAUCAUAUCUCACCCUCCUGAAGAGUGAGGAAAAACACACAGCUGAUUUUAAAACAGAGCCAAUUACCUUUGAUAGACUUUCCCCUGCUUUUAGCAGGUUUGUAAAAGACAAAGCUGUAAAAUAAAUUGCCUCAUUUGGUUACUUUGGUGUUCUUUCAUAAGCAGUUUAUCUAAAGUGAUUUUGCUCAAAAUCAGGCAUUCUGUGGAUAUACUCCUGAGAGUUUAUUUUGCCUGAGGCAGUCCUCUUUAUAAUUACCUCAUUUUUUUAAGCUUACUUUAUGUUUUAUGGAGUAGAGUCUUGGACACUUGACCUCCAAUUUGCCUAUGAAUUGGGUUAUAUUUAAUACACAUUUCUGUAGGGGACACUUGUCCUUAUUACAACAGAAUAAGGACGGGAUGGCCUUAUACUUAUAUAGCUACCUCUAUUAGACACCCUAGUUUCUACCAAAUAAUUUUACCUCACAAUUGUGUUUUGUUAUAAAAAACAUAAUGCUCAUAUGAGCACACAGAAUACUUGCCCACUAGGUUUCUUUGCCAAAAGGAAAAUGGAAUUCUGACACUCAUUUUUCAAAAUAUAAUUUGAAGGAACGAAUAUUCGAGGAGGAUUGCUUAAGGUCAAGCACUCCCUCUCCUUUUUACAGAAAAUAUAGAUUACAUUCCUAGAAGAAGCCGAAGCAGCAGAAAACAGGUCAUCUAGAUCGUUAGCACCCUUUGCAAAAUUGCUGCUUCUGAAUUGAAUUGGGCUCUGGUAUGAUGCCAUCAUCCUAUAUUAAGAAUCGAAGCUGUCAUUAUAUUUACUAUUUGGCUAUUGUGGAAAAUGCUGUUUAUUUCAUCAUACAAUGAUCAUACAAUAUCAGGACCCUUAAAAGAAAUUGUCAUCUGAUCUUACCACCAAGAUAAAUUGUUCAUAUUCUGAGCAAUUGCUUUCUUUUAUCUAUUAAAACUGUGACUUACAUAAAUAAUAAUUCUAUCAUCUGAGAAAGGAUUGAUUGUUUUUCUCCCCAAAUAUGUGUUAUGUACUGUGAACAAAGGGCAAUGAGGAGCUCUGGGGUUUUUCUGUGGGAAAAUAACUGUGUUGAUGUUAGUUACUUCUUAAUUCCUUCCUAUGUGGCAGUGAUAGUCUAAGCAAGUGCUAUGGUCUGAAUGUCUCUCCAAAUUCACAUGUUGAAAUUUAAUCACCAAUGUGACAGUGAAACAGGAGAGUUCCUUGAUUCCCCUCGCUGGACAUGCAACAGGGGUGUGGCCCAUAUCUUUGAUUGCUGCUGCUGCUCAAACCCCUUAUGGGAGGGGGAACAUGCAGGAGGAACAGGUGCAGGAGCUGGGGUGAGCACGCCUGGGCUCCUGCCCCACAGCAGCGUCUAGUGGUGGGAACCUGCGACUCCCAGAGCCCAAGUAGGCGUGUGUUACAGUGUACUCUUUUAACCUUGAUGUUCCUGGAUAGCUUAAGUCUUAACACCUCAGUGGACCCUCUGCCUUUUUGCAAAGGCAGAGGGCCAGUGUGACGGUUGUAAGUAUACUGAGCUCUUGUCCAGCAUUCUGGAAAAAUCAG
ensembl:lncRNA